AAGCAUAGAAGUGCUGAAAUAAAAUAGAUUAGUAAGAGUUAUGUUUUAAUAAUUUGUUUUAUAUUUUAGCUUAUUAAGGAUAAGCUUAAUAAGAAAUAUAGGAAAAAAUAUAGUCUGAGUGAAUUAUUUAGGCCUGAGAUUAGCCACUAUAGUGAAACUUGUUACAAAAUAAUUCUUUUAAUAAGAAAAAUCUUUAUAUUUUUCAUUCUUAUCUGUAAUAAGGGUAUCAAGUAAAAUUAAUAGAUUUAGUUUGCUUAUGCUAAGAUGAGUAUUUGUAAAUUAUAUGUGAACAAGUAUCUAAAAACGUUUAUAAUAAUACAAUUUUUUUAAUUAAAAUAAAAUAGAAAGAAGGAACUCGGCAAAUUCUAGCUUCGCCUGUUUAUCAAAAACAUGGCUCCCUGUUAGCUUAAUAUAGGGAGUCAGACCUGCCCAGUGAAAUUUUUCAACGGCCGCGGUACUCUGACCGUGCAAAGGUAGCAUAAUCAUUUGCCUUAUAAUUGGAGGCUUGUAUGAAUGGUUUGACGGAAGCAUUACUGUCUCCUUUCUACUACAUAGAAUUUGAUUUCUAGGUGAAGAAGCCUAGAUACAAUUGAAAGACAAAAAGACCCUGUCGAGCUUAAAAAUAAGGUGGGAAUCGUUAUAAUUAACCUAAAUUUAUUACCAAUUGCUUUUUUUGGUUGGGGCGACCUGGGAACAGCAAAAGCUUCCCCUUUUACUUUAACCUAUGAGUAAUGAUCCAGCCCAAAGCUGAUUAAAAGAAUUAGUUACCGCAGGGAUAACAGCAUAAUCUCUCUUGAGAGACCAAAUCGAAAGAAGAGGGUUGUGACCUCGAUGUUGGACUAGAAUAUCCUAAAGAUGCAGAAGUCUUUGAAGGUUGGUCUGUCGACCAUAAA
rnacentral:rRNA from 1 species